rnacentral:tRNA from 1 species
GACCGGGUUGCCGAGAUGGUCAAGGCACAUGUGCCGCCACACAUGAUAUGCGGGUUCGAUUCCCGCCCCGGUCUCCA